rnacentral:rRNA from 1 species
CCACCUUUGACAUGUACGGAAUUUGCCAGAGAUGGCUCAGUGCUCGAAAGAGAACCGUAACACAGGUGCUGCAUGGCUGUCGUCAGCUCGUGUCGUGAGAUGUUGGGUUAAGUCCCGCAACGAGCGCAACCCUUGUCAUUAGUUGCUACAUUCAGUUGGGCACUCUAGUGAGACUGCCGGUGACAAACCGGAGGAAGGUGGGGAUGACGUCAAGUCCUCAUGGCCCUUAUAGGUGGGGCUACACACGUCAUACAAUGGCUGGUACAAAGGGUUGCCAACCCGCGAGGGGGAGCUAAUCCCAUAAAACCAGUCGUAGUCCGGAUCGCAGUCUGCAACUCGACUGCGUGAAGUCGGAAUCGCUAGUAAUCGUGGAUCAGAAUGUCACGGUGAAUACGUUCCC